rnacentral:lncRNA from 1 species
GAUGGACGUGGACCAGAUGGUGCUGAAGGUGGUGGAAGAAAACCUGUCUUUCCUCGGGAGGGCUUGUACAGGUCUGUCCCUAAGUGUCCACUGUCCAGUUAUGACACCCUGGAGAGAAACUCCUCUGCUGUGGCAAAGGAGCAUCCUCAGCUGAGAGGGCUUCAGCCCUCUGUCCAAAUAGAUGUGUCUGACAGAAAAGCAAAUGGAUAUUGUAGGCAGGUUUUUGCAAAUCUCAGUGAAGAGUCUCUCAUCCUUAUCUGUGACCUUGAGCAGGGAAGAGAGGUGAUUCUUUCAAGGCUGUCACCCUACAUAUUUCGUAGGCCAUUAAUACUCUGUAUUUACACUUCUCAAGGUAUGUCAGUGGAAGUGUGUAAUCAUUAAAGAAGGACGCAAAAAGGUAAAAACCUGUAUUGCAUUUUUCUUAGCAACAACAAACUCAACAGCAAAAUCUGUUUUUACAUACCUUUAAAGAAGACUACAUUUACUGUUAACAGUUUUAUGUUAGCAUCGUAUCAAUGUUUUUACAGGGGUUAUGGUAGCAACAUCAGCUUUCUGCUGUGUGAAACUACUUAAGGUAGGCAUGCGGCUUUAAUAAUAGGUAUAUGUGAACUACAUGAAUUAUUUCCCCUUUUCACUUUACAUAUAUAUAGUAUUAUGUAUAGGUAUUAAUGAAGGGUCAAAAUCUAUGGCAGAGAGACAUUUUCAGUCUUUGAAGCUGUCCAAAAUUUGGAAUAUCAAAGGUGUCUUGGAGAACUUUGGCUUCAGAUGCAGGAACUGAGAGGAUAAAAGUGGUAUAAUGCAUGUAAUUUAACCGUAUCUGUGAAAUGUAUCUUAGGGAUACACUUCAAAGUUGUGGAUAUACACGUAACAAACACAUCUUUCAAAGUAAUAUCUUCUUCACACAAUGCACAAACUCUAAAAUAUAUUUCCACUGCAGGUUGUCAAAAUAAUACUUGCAGUGGAUUUUGAAAAAAUGUCAGACUUUUAUUACUGGCAAUAUUAUUCAGAAUAAAAUAAGGGAAAUUUUACUUCGCA